UACGUAGGGGGCAAGCGUUGUCCGGAUUUAUUGGGCGUAAAGAGCGUGUAGGCGGCCUGGUAGGUCUGCUGUGAAAACUCGAGGCUCAACCUCGAGAUGUCGGCGGAAACCAUCUGGCUAGAGUCCGGAAGAGGAGAGUGGAAUUCCUGGUGUAGCGGUGAAAUGCGCAGAUAUCAGGAAGAACACCUAUGGCGAAGGCAGCUCUCUGGGACGGUACUGACGCUGAGACGCGAAAGCUAGGGGAGCAAACGGG
rnacentral:rRNA from 1 species